rnacentral:lncRNA from 1 species
CGCGCCAUUCGCCACGACGCAAAAUGCCUCGGCCAUCAAGGAGGUCGUCCGUAAAGUGGCCCUCCAUAAACACCGCGGGCUGGCACACGAGAGGCCUUGGAUUGGUCGAUUGCGCAAACAAUCGGCCUGGCUCGUGCUGGGCGGCGCACACGACGCCGUAGCCAUUGAGCCGGCCCAUGACGAGUCGACCGCACACGACAUCGCCCGAGACCAAGAGACCCUCACAUGAUGUCUUGUAGGUGGGGCCGUCAAUGUAGCCGGUCGCUGCUUCGUUGGCUGCGCAUGUGGCAGUGCGCGAGACCCUCGCGUACACGCGCAUCCAGCGCACGCCAAACUCGUCGGGCAUUGUGUGAAGGUCGGCCCAGGCCCUUCCAAAGUGGCGACGCACGAGCACCCGCCACAUGGCGUCGUCGUCAACCAGUGUCGCUGCCAUCGUGCGACAGGUCGCCGCGAGCGACGCUGCGUCGUUUAUGCCCAACGUGGCGUCUCCCAAGAGAGCACCGACGACUCGCCAGACGACUUCGUGCGGCAUAUCGACGAGCCCACAAGAGGGACCGGCCAAGGAGGACCCAUUAACCGCCAUCUGUCGACGGGCUUGAUGUGCAAUCGGGCAGCGCGGUCUGUUUUGCUUUUGGGGUGUUUGUUUGCUUUGGCGUGGCUCGCUUGGCACCACGAGCCCUUUGCUGCCGACGGCGGCGGCGGCGGCGAUGGGUCCAACAUAGGGCCAGCCAACCCACGCUGAGCGGCUGCAUCCGCGAACCGAAAGCCAACCACAAAAAAGAGAAGAAAAAGAGCG